GGUUAAGCGACUAAGCGUACACGGUGGAUGCCCUGGCAGUCAGAGGCGAUGAAGGACGUGCUAAUCUGCGAUAAGCGUCGGUAAGGUGAUAUGAACCGUUAUAACCGGCGAUUUCCGAAUGGGGAAACCCAGUGUGAUUCGUCACACUAUCAUUAACUGAAUCCAUAGGUUAAUGAGGCGAACCGGGGGAACUGAAACAUCUAAGUACCCCGAGGAAAAGAAAUCAACCGAGAUUCCCCCAGUAGCGGCGAGCGAACGGGGAGCAGCCCAGAGCCUGAAUCAGUGUGUGUGUUAGUGGAAGCGUCUGGAAAGGCGCGCGAUACAGGGUGACAGCCCCGUACACAAAAAUGCACAUGCUGUGAGCUCGAUGAGUAGGGCGGGACACGUGGUAUCCUGUCUGAAUAUGGGGGGACCAUCCUCCAAGGCUAAAUACUCCUGACUGACCGAUAGUGAACCAGUACCGUGAGGGAAAGGCGAAAAGAACCCCGGCGAGGGGAGUGAAAAAGAACCUGAAACCGUGUACGUACAAGCAGUGGGAGCACGCUUAGGCGUGUGACUGCGUACCUUUUGUAUAAUGGGUCAGCGACUUAUAUUCUGUAGCAAGGUUAACCGAAUAGGGGAGCCGAAGGGAAACCGAGUCUUAACUGGGCGUUAAGUUGCAGGGUAUAGACCCGAAACCCGGUGAUCUAGCCAUGGGCAGGUUGAAGGUUGGGUAACACUAACUGGAGGACCGAACCGACUAAUGUUGAAAAAUUAGCGGAUGACUUGUGGCUGGGGGUGAAAGGCCAAUCAAACCGGGAGAUAGCUGGUUCUCCCCGAAAGCUAUUUAGGUAGCGCCUCGUGAAUUCAUCUCCGGGGGUAGAGCACUGUUUCGGCAAGGGGGUCAUCCCGACUUACCAACCCGAUGCAAACUGCGAAUACCGGAGAAUGUUAUCACGGGAGACACACGGCGGGUGCUAACGUCCGUCGUGAAGAGGGAAACAACCCAGACCGCCAGCUAAGGUCCCAAAGUCAUGGUUAAGUGGGAAACGAUGUGGGAAGGCCCAGACAGCCAGGAUGUUGGCUUAGAAGCAGCCAUCAUUUAAAGAAAGCGUAAUAGCUCACUGGUCGAGUCGGCCUGCGCGGAAGAUGUAACGGGGCUAAACCAUGCACCGAAGCUGCGGCAGCGACACUAUGUGUUGUUGGGUAGGGGAGCGUUCUGUAAGCCUGUGAAGGUGUACUGUGAGGUAUGCUGGAGGUAUCAGAAGUGCGAAUGCUGACAUAAGUAACGAUAAAGCGGGUGAAAAGCCCGCUCGCCGGAAGACCAAGGGUUCCUGUCCAACGUUAAUCGGGGCAGGGUGAGUCGACCCCUAAGGCGAGGCCGAAAGGCGUAGUCGAUGGGAAACAGGUUAAUAUUCCUGUACUUGGUGUUACUGCGAAGGGGGGACGGAGAAGGCUAUGUUGGCCGGGCGACGGUUGUCCCGGUUUAAGCGUGUAGGCUGGUUUUCCAGGCAAAUCCGGAAAAUCAAGGCUGAGGCGUGAUGACGAGGCACUACGGUGCUGAAGCAACAAAUGCCCUGCUUCCAGGAAAAGCCUCUAAGCAUCAGGUAACAUCAAAUCGUACCCCAAACCGACACAGGUGGUCAGGUAGAGAAUACCAAGGCGCUUGAGAGAACUCGGGUGAAGGAACUAGGCAAAAUGGUGCCGUAACUUCGGGAGAAGGCACGCUGAUAUGUAGGUGAAGUCCCUCGCGGAUGGAGCUGAAAUCAGUCGAAGAUACCAGCUGGCUGCAACUGUUUAUUAAAAACACAGCACUGUGCAAACACGAAAGUGGACGUAUACGGUGUGACGCCUGCCCGGUGCCGGAAGGUUAAUUGAUGGGGUUAGCGCAAGCGAAGCUCUUGAUCGAAGCCCCGGUAAACGGCGGCCGUAACUAUAACGGUCCUAAGGUAGCGAAAUUCCUUGUCGGGUAAGUUCCGACCUGCACGAAUGGCGUAAUGAUGGCCAGGCUGUCUCCACCCGAGACUCAGUGAAAUUGAACUCGCUGUGAAGAUGCAGUGUACCCGCGGCAAGACGGAAAGACCCCGUGAACCUUUACUAUAGCUUGACACUGAACAUUGAGCCUUGAUGUGUAGGAUAGGUGGGAGGCUUUGAAGUGUGGACGCCAGUCUGCAUGGAGCCGACCUUGAAAUACCACCCUUUAAUGUUUGAUGUUCUAACGUUGACCCGUAAUCCGGGUUGCGGACAGUGUCUGGUGGGUAGUUUGACUGGGGCGGUCUCCUCCUAAAGAGUAACGGAGGAGCACGAAGGUUGGCUAAUCCUGGUCGGACAUCAGGAGGUUAGUGCAAUGGCAUAAGCCAGCUUGACUGCGAGCGUGACGGCGCGAGCAGGUGCGAAAGCAGGUCAUAGUGAUCCGGUGGUUCUGAAUGGAAGGGCCAUCGCUCAACGGAUAAAAGGUACUCCGGGGAUAACAGGCUGAUACCGCCCAAGAGUUCAUAUCGACGGCGGUGUUUGGCACCUCGAUGUCGGCUCAUCACAUCCUGGGGCUGAAGUAGGUCCCAAGGGUAUGGCUGUUCGCCAUUUAAAGUGGUACGCGAGCUGGGUUUAGAACGUCGUGAGACAGUUCGGUCCCUAUCUGCCGUGGGCGCUGGAGAACUGAGGGGGGCUGCUCCUAGUACGAGAGGACCGGAGUGGACGCAUCACUGGUGUUCGGGUUGUCAUGCCAAUGGCACUGCCCGGUAGCUAAAUGCGGAAGAGAUAAGUGCUGAAAGCAUCUAAGCACGAAACUUGCCCCGAGAUGAGUUCUCCCUGACUCCUUGAGAGUCCUGAAGGAACGUUGAAGACGACGACGUUGAUAGGCCGGGUGUGUAAGCGCAGCGAUGCGUUGAGCUAACCGGUACUAAUGAACCGUGAGGCUUAACCUU
rnacentral:rRNA from 1 species